rnacentral:rRNA from 1 species
UACGUAGGGUGCAAGCGUUGUCCGGAAUUAUUGGGCGUAAAGAGCUCGUAGGCGGUUUGUCGCGUCUGCUGUGAAAACCCGAGGCUCAACCUCGGGCCUGCAGUGGGUACGGGCAGACUAGAGUGCGGUAGGGGAGAUUGGAAUUCCUGGUGUAGCGGUGGAAUGCGCAGAUAGUCAGGAGGAACACCAAUGGCGAAGGCAGAUCUCUGGGCCGUAACUGACGCUGAGGAGCGAAAGCAUGGGGAGCGAACAGG